UGAGGUCACCUGUUAGCCAACAGUCUGUUAGGAAAUGAAGCCUUUAGUCCAUCAUCCGAAAGGAACUGAAGUCUGCCAAAAACCACAUAAGUGAACUGCUCCAGUUGAGCCUUCAGAUGAGUCCCCAGCCCAGGCUGAUAUCUUGAUGGCAGCAUUCUGAGAGAACAUGAAGCAGAGAACUCAGAUAAACUGUUCCUGGAUUCCAAACAACAGAAAUGGCUUACUGGAGUUGAUGCAAGUAACUGAACAGCAACCACAGGCUCCCGUGUGGGCUGAAGAGGAGUAGCGCUCUUCAACAGAGGUGACAAGGGAAGAGGAUUCAUGCAUUUGCUCACGUGAUGCUGGGCAGACUCGUCUCUUUGUGUUGUUGAGAGAUGGUCUAUUCCCCAUAAGAAAGUGCGUCCUGGAACAUCAGAAUGUUAAUCACACUGAAUCUGGGCUUUGCAAGGUGUACAAGGAAUGAAAUUUGGACACAGGCUGCAUCAUGGAUGAACCUGAAGGUAUUACGCUAAAGGAAAUAAGCCAGUCACAAAAGGACAGAUGUUGAUGAUUCCAUUUGUAUGAGGUACCAAGAAUAGAGAAUUCACAGAAUGGUGGUUAUAUAGGUGCUGAGGGGAAGAGAGAGUGGGGAGUCAGUGUUUAAUCAGUGCAGAGUUUCUGUUUGGGAUGAACACAGCAAUGUUGAAUGGACUU